rnacentral:rRNA from 1 species
CCUACGGGGGGCAGCAGUGAGGAAUAUUGGUCAAUGGACGGAAGUCUGAACCAGCCAUGCCGCGUGCAGGAAGACGGCUCUAUGAGUUGUAAACUGCUUUUGUACAAGGGUAAACCUGAAUACGUGUAUUCAGCUGAAAGUACUGUACGAAUAAGGAUCGGCUAACUCCGUGCCAGCAGCCGCGGUAAUACGGAGGAUCCAAGCGUUAUCCGGAUUUAUUGGGUUUAAAGGGUGCGUAGGCGGAUUGAUAAGUUAGAGGUGAAAUGUCCGAGCUUAACUCGGGAACUGCCUCUAAUACUGUUGAUCUAGAGAGUAGAUGCGGUAGGCGGAAUGUAUGGUGUAGCGGGGAAAUGCUUAGAGAUCAUACAGAACACCGAUUGCGAAGGCAGCUUACCAAUCUAUAUCUGACGUUGAGGCACGAAAGCGUGGGGAGCAAACAGGAUUAGAUACCCCAGUAGC